CGACGUCGGUUCCUCCUCCUGUCUGCAGGCCAACAGGAGGAUUUUACGACGUCGCAGAGAAACCUGGGUCUUUAUCACCCAGGAAGCUUCUGGCUCCGGCCAAAAUAAAACGGCUUCCUGGUUUUGCGGGACCCAACAGAC